GCUCAGAAACUCAAAUGAAUUGACGGGGCCCGCACAAGCGGUGGAGUAUGUGGUUUAAUUCGAUGCAACGCGAAGAACCUUACCUGGUCUUGACAUCCCGGAGACCCUUAGGAAACUAGGGGGUGCUUCCAUCUGGAAGAAUCUGGAGACAGGUGCUGCAUGGCUGUCGUCAGCUCGUGUCGUGAGAUGUUGGGUUAAGUCCCGCAACGAGCGCAACCCUUGCCUUUAGUUGCCAGCAGUUCGGCUGGGCACUCUAAAGGGACUGCCGGUGUUAAACCGGAGGAAGGUGGGGAUGACGUCAAGUCCUCAUGGCCUUUAUGACCAGGGCUACACACGUACUACAAUGGCCGAUACAAAGGGCAGCGACACUGCGAGGUGAAGCCAAUCCCGUAAAAUCGGUCUCAGUCCGGAUUGGAGUCUGCAACUCGACUCCAUGAAGUUGGAAUCGCUAGUAAUCGUGGAUCAGCAUGCCACGGUGAAUACGUUCCCGGGCCUU
rnacentral:rRNA from 1 species